rfam:Actinobaculum massiliae ACS-171-V-Col2 genomic scaffold supercont1.1, whole genome shotgun sequence.
UCCGACUCCCCACGCGGCGUUAUCUUGCAAAACUCCCCCAGGGCCGGAAGGCAGCAAGGGUAUGCGGGCUCUGGCGGGUGCGUGGGGCGUCUUUGUU